UACGUAGGGGCUAGCGUUAUCCGGAAUUACUGGGCGUAAAGGGUGCGUAGGUGGUUUCUUAAGUCAGAGGUGAAAGGCUACGGCUCAACCGUAGUAAGCCUUUGAAACUGGGAAACUUGAGUGCAGGAGAGGAGAGUGGAAUUCCUAGUGUAGCGGUGAAAUGCGUAGAUAUUAGGAGGAACACCAGUUGCGAAGGCGGCUCUCUGGACUGUAACUGACACUGAGGCACGAAAGCGUGGGGAGCAAACAGGAUUAGAUACCUGCGUAUUCCCUGAG
rnacentral:rRNA from 1 species